rnacentral:lncRNA from 1 species
CGCGCCGUCGCUGCGCAGGAGGGGCCGCCUCCCUGUCCCCGCCUCGACCGCGGCCGCGCCUCUUCUCCGGACCGUGCGCGUGGCCGAGUGCCUUGGGGACUCGGGCCUGGGGAAGCGGCAGGGGCGCAGAGGGAAAGAGCCGCGAUGCGGGGGUGCCACUCGGAGGAGCCUUUGAGUCCUGGGCAUCCUCAAGUUGGUGACCGGGGAAAAAGGGGAUACCUUUCAGUGUCGCCCUACGGUGGGAGCUGAGGAGGUGAGGGUCCCAGGUCUCAGAAAGUGAGAGCAGUGAGUUUGGGCCUCUGGGGCCACUUGAGCAGGGGACCCUGGAGGCUAGGUGAGUGCCCCUGGCCUCUGAGAAAGGGCUAGGGGGUGGGUUGUGGGUGGGGCAGCAGGCUUAGGCCCUGUGUCCUGUACUCUCGCCCCUCGGUCCUGUGCCUGGGCAUCUGGGUGAGAGGUAGUUCCUAGAGCCAGGGGCCUGUGUGUAGCUGGUGCAGAGCUGUCAUCCUCACUGCCAAGGGCUAAGGGCCUGCCUUUGAUUUACAGGUCCCUUUUAGAAGCAAAGGAGAAACAAACAGAUGCCCUCUGACAUCGCUGGAGCUCUGCAGGCCCCUCCGAGGGGACCAUGGGAGCAGGAGCUGUUUUCUUGGAAAACCACCUAGAAUAAAUGUUACCCUGUCACAGUC